rnacentral:tRNA from 1 species
AUUUAAAUAGUUUAAGAAAAAUGUUGAUUUGUGGGGUCAAAGUUAUUGUAUAGAUUUUAGAUA